GAAGAGAAGAGGGGGAUUUGCAAGUCCUCAAAUCUAGGUCUGGCUUCCCAGAGUCUUGAUUUGCCUCCUGUGCUAGGCAAGAACCUUGGGAUGGGCUUUGUGUGCCUGCUGUCCUAGCACACUGCUGGAGGAGCCCCUGGCCACGUGCCAGGCCCCCUGUGAUUCUGUGCUGCAGAAGAGGUUUUGUCAUGAUCCACUGACCCUCCCAGAAGAUGCUUUAAUGUUGCUGAUUCUACCUUAGAUGUGCAGACAGGAAGGCAGGAAUGCACUUCUGGGAGAGGCACUGCACCUCCUGCAGCGUUGGAACCUGAGGGAAUUGGUCACCAGGAGCUGUGAUUUCCUUCUGUGAUCCUCCAGCUGUUCUACCUCUCUGUGUGCUACUCAGCAACAUAUCAAGGCUUUAAGAGUGGCUGCUGCUUGCACUGUGAAGAAAGGUGGUCCUUCCAGCCUUUCCCAGCAAGGGUUUCCUGCAGAAGCUUUGUAUAAAGCCAAGCCUCUGGCUGGGGUUGCUCCAAAACCAUUCAUCAUCUUUUACCUGGAAAAGGAUGUGUCUUAAUACCAUCACAUUUUCGAGGGCUUUGAGCCCAAAGGUGUCUGUGCUUGUGGGCUCUUGACAGGUGAACUGAAGAUUGUGAAGAGAUAAGAAGCAGGUGCACUUCUCUGCAGGUUCUUCUGGGCUACCUGAUGGCCCAGGAAUCCUUGAGUUCCAAAGGUUGGAAAAGACCUUUCAGAUCAUCUAGUCCAGCCACCAACCCAGCACCGUGUUCACCACGUCCUCAAGUGCCUCAUGCACAUGGCUUUUGACGGUGACUCCAUCCCUGUCCUGGGCAGCCUGUUCCAACGCUUUACAAACCUCAGUGUUACCUUCUGGGUGCAACUAAUAAUUAGGAUUUAUGGUGUUUAUGUAAGAGUUGUGAAGAGGAGCUGUCUUUGUUGGCAGUUUAGUGUUGUCAGGCCUUUGGCUGAGUCACACACUAGGAAAGGAGGCAUCUGGCAGCAGCAAACCCCACUUUUGUUCUGUUCCUCACAAAUAAGCUUUUGUUUACCUUGAGGUUUUCUGAGGUAUUAUUAGUCCAAUUUUUGUUCUUAAACCUUUCCUAGGGGAAAAGUGGGUUUAAAGUGUGAUUAGAAAGCAAUUUGGUUUUAUUUUCCAUUCAACUGUGAGUCAGUUGACUGCAUUUUGUGACUGCAUACAAAGGCCUUAAUUUCAACUCUGAGUAAAAGGGGAUUAUUUUUGUGCUGUCUCUGUUCAGCUUUAGAAAAGGAGCUCAGUGAGCUCUCCUGACUCAAGGUGUGCAGUGACUUGUGUGAGAAUGCAGCUGUGGUUAAAGCUACCACUCAGGACAUCUAAGAUAAGACUCUUGAAAUAAAACUGGACCCCUUGGCAGUAUCAGAUCCCCUGCAUUGAGGAAUCUGCAGUUAAGUCAGGUACUGAGCUUACUUGCUGUGGCAUCUGGCAUAGAUCCAUCAUUGCUUAGCUGGAGAGCUGAGCCAGCCACAGAAGCUUCUGGAAACAAAGAGGGGUGAAAAAGGAUUUGUCCUACAAAUGCAUAAAAUCUCCAUUCUUCAAACAAGGGUGUGUAAGUGGCCAGCAUCUUUUCUGGAAAUUUAAUCACAUUUUUUAUGAAUUGACCCAGAGUGGCAUCAUCUCUGUUGCCCACACAUGUGUCCAAAGCUGAUCCAGAUGCUGCUCAAGGCAGGUUCCCUUACACAUUUCUUUGGGGAGGGAUGUAUUUGAGCUCUGAGAAAUGCACAUCAAAAGCUCCAGAUAAUCAGCAUUCCCCUCCAGUGAGGAGAAGAUACACUCUAUGUUAUUGGCAUUUCCAUAAGUCCCAGAAAGGGUUUGGGGGAGGCUUGCCAGCUGUUCCCUGGUGAGGGAAUGAAAGAGGCUUCAGGACUGUUUCCUGCAUGAACUCGAUUCCAGCCCUGGUCCUGCCUCAGAGACACGGUUGUAACUGGUGGGGCAGUGUCACUAUAUGGGUUUUGUCUAAUCUCUCAGGUAUCCUCAGUUUAAACUCAUGUUGUUUAGGCUGGAAGGGAUCACCCAGCCCAAAACUGCUGCUGCAGCAGCGUCAGAGAGCAGCCUGUCCAGUUGGGAUCUGAAUAUCCCCACAGCUGGAGAUUGCACAACCUCUCUGGAGGGCCUGUUCCAGUGUGUGACCAGUCUCAUGGUCAGAAAGGGUUUUCUUGUGCUCAGAUGGAAUUUCACAUGUGUUUUUGCCUCAUUCCAAGUACCAUCAGGUACUUGGGCAUAU